CUCCAGCAAUUCGGCAUACGUCCGGGGGAGGGUCUUGUCCAAGGAAUAGGUGAACCGAGACCCCCUUAGUCCCCUCUUCAUGGCCGAGAUAGCUAUGUCUUCGUCGAGAUCCCGGACCUCAAGUGUGGCCGCAUUGAAUCGGACCACAAAGUGUCGGAACGUCUCGUUUUCUCCCUGCUUGAGGAAAAAAAGGCUGUCCG
rnacentral:lncRNA from 1 species